rnacentral:lncRNA from 1 species
GCGCUUGUUUUUUUUCAACAGAUGGGACGCGCUUGUUUGAAAUUUGGGGAAAGUACAAACUUUGCCCCCUCUUAAAUUUCGGACCUACUGCGUGUCAUGCCCAAUAUGCGAUACUAUCCUAAAGAGACUCGAAGGUCCCACCAAGGAUAGAACCGCAUAUUGACAUGCUUUUGCGAGGUGGAUAUCAUUACAUUGAUCCAUUACAUAAAUAGUUGGGGAUACAUACAAGGCAUACGAAUGCCGCAAGAAUACAUCAAUACAUCAUACAUAGAACAACAUCCGGCUACGGAUGAAACACAAACAGAAACUCAAACGACAUCCACCCUGCUAGCCCAGGCUGCCGACCAGGAACCUAAUCCAAGAUCGACGAAGAAGGACUCCAAAACAAUUAAACAUCGCCCUCACGUCAUGACCAUCACAUUACCUGUACCUGCAACUGUUGUUGUAGUAAUCUGUGAGCCACGAGGGCUCAGCAAUCCCAUUACCAUGGGUAUCAAGACUAGCAAAGCUUAAUGGGUAUGGAAAGGAUAAGUGGUGAGGUUGGAGCAACGGCUAAGCAAAGUAUGAUGGCUAACUUACGAGUACAAGAGUAAGAUGAGAAUCUACGCAAGCGGUCCCAGUCUAGUAAUGAUCACUAAGUGACCCUGAACUACUUACGUUCAAACAUAACCCGACUGUGUUCUCCUCUCGAACUUCCCCGAAAAGAGACAAUCACUGCUACGCAACGCGGUUGGUGUAUUUUAAUUAAGUUUACUUCAAGUCCUCUACAACCGGAUAUUAACAAAUUCCCAUCUGCCACAUAACCGUGGGCACGGCUUUCGAAAGAUUAAACCCUGCAGGGGUGUCCCAACUUAGCCCAUGACAAGCUCACGAUCCGCGGAGACAAUCCUCCAUCGCGGGAACCUCCGAUCAUACUCGGAAUCCCGGUGCACAAGACAUUUCGACAAUGGUAAAACAAGUCCAACAAGACCUUCUGGCGUGCCGACACCCUGAUAGUAGCCGCGCGUAUCUCGUCUCAGGCCACGACCGGAUGAGCACAGCGUACAGCAACUGAGACCCGAGUUUCCCCGGGGGAAGCCACACACGACUCUAGUUUGGACCAGCACCAUCAGCACUGCCCCCCUGUAUGUAGAAAAGAAACCUCGGGGACGCGACCCCCUAUGCUAAUUAAUUAAUUAUCAGGUUUAGUUAUUAUGUUGAGCAAAUGGUAAAACAAAUGUUGGGCCUUGCUGGAAAAGUUUGAUUCAAAGCGAAAUGUCGAGAGGGUCCCAUACCCCUCAUCGUGUUAGGGACGCAAAAUCAAGGAACAUAACACCGGUAUGAUGGAAACUAGGGCGGCAAGUGGAACAAAACACCAGGCGUCAGGCCGAGCCUUCCACCCUUUACCAAAUAUAUAUGAUGCAUUAAUUAAAUAAAAGAUAUUGUGAUAUCCCAUGAUAUCCAUGAAAUCCAUGUCCCAACAUGGAACAACCUGCAACCGCACCUGCAACUAGCAAUGCUAUAAGAGGGGCUGAGCAAAGCGGUAACAUAGCCAAACAAUGGUUUGCUAUGAAGUGUGAAAAGGUUAGAGGCUAUCAUGGCAAUUUGGGAGGCUUGAUAAACAAGUGGUAGGUAGCGUGACAUAGCGAUAGCAUCGAGACAACUAGCAUAGCAAUGAUAGUAGUGAGAUCCAAGGUGACGGUCAUCUUGCCUGAAAUCCCGCUAUGAAGAAGAUCGGGUCCUUGAAGAAGACAAACCAACAUAAUCGAACGAAUCCUCACAAUCGCAACGUUACCGGAACUAUCCAGAAGAAGCAACACCGGAAAGAAGCAAACAACAUGGUAAACAACCAUCACAUAAACAUGGCAUGAUGCACAAUCAAGUAUGAUGCAUGUCCGGUUCAAUGAUUCAUGGCAUGGCAAAGUGCAACAAACAAUACUACAAAAUAAGUGGAGCUCAAUAUGCAAUGAGUUGCAUAUCGACGGAACCCCACAUUCCAAAUAUUUAUUUCUCUCCCAUUUAUGUAACCAACAAUAUUAAAUGUUGUUAACCAUGGCAAGAGGUGAAACAUAAGUAAACUAACUAUUUAGGCAAGUUUAAAUGAGGCUGGAACAACAACAACAAUCCGGAAAAUCCCCAUAUGAAAUUUAGCAAUUUUAAUGCAACCAACAAUUUUAAACAUUUUAAAUGUUGUUAUCAUGAUGCGGAUGCCAUACACAAGUUUUAUGCAAUAUUUAUGAAAAUGUUGACAUGAGCAUGAUAUGAGUCAUUCAUCGCCAUGGCGGAAGGAAAAAGGGUGCCACAGCAACAUAUUAGUUCCGAUAACUCGAUUGAGAUACCGAUGCAAAAGAGAAGUGUGCGGAUGUGCGGAACAUGCUAGAAAUGGUGGGGUGAUCCCGGUUACCGGGUGUCCCACAUGACGGUGGCAAGGAAACGAGUGACAACGUGCAACGAACAAGUCGGGCACGGUGCAAACGCGAGCAACUCAUACAACACAUGCAUUCGUUCACGGGCGGUCGUUCUCGACCGUUAUACCUUUGAAGUGUGCAUUUUGGGGGGAGGGGGGUCGAGUUCGGCGGUAGAGGUACACGUGUCGAAGGGGAAGUAGUUGUUCACAGGGUCGUCGUGGGAAGUAGUCGUUCUUGCGACGGUAGUGGUACACGGUCGUCGUGGAAGUAGUUGUACACAUUGUCUUGUCGAAUCCACGGCGACGGUAGUGGUUCACUCGACGGUCUUUGGCAACGGCCGCCGUACACGGUUCGUAGACGUUCGGGUGACGCAUCCCGGAUGUGUAGUCGUACACGCGCGUAGAUGAAUUUGACGGCUCCCGUGAGUAGUCAUACUCGGCGAAUCCGCGUAGUUAUACAUAUCUUUGUGUUGUUGCCGACUUUAUGAAAAACCCACGACGACGGUAGAUGUACACGGUCGGCUUGAUGGAGCUUGGCGAAACCAAAACGUUUGGUCUUGGCGUACAGUGGCAGCAGCAGGCAUCCCAGGAGUCAACGGGCGCGGUCGUCACUGGACUUGCGAAACAGGGAAGGAGCUGGGGGCUGCAGCGGGAGCGGCUGAAGAUGGUUGCGGGUGCGGGUGCUCGCGGAGGUCGGGGCGACGCUUGGGGCUCGAGGUGGCGCUGGGAACGGACCCGAAGAGGAGAAGGGAGGGGCGGAGCAGAGCAGCUCGGACGCGGAGGCAGCGCACGCCGGAGUUGAUGGCCAGCGCGGCGGCAAGUGAAGGAGGAGUGGGAGAGGAGGUGGCUGUGGUGUGGAGGAGGAGCAGCGACUCGGGGCUGGAGGAAGGCCAUGGCAGAGGCGGUCCGGCGAAGUAGGCAUGGCUCCGGCGGAGCUGCUCGCUGGCGGCGGUCGGAGGCAGAGGCGGGGGCGAUCCAGCGAUGGGGUGCAGGAGAGGGAGGCGCGAGGAAGGAGGGGCCGGCGCGGGAUCCGGGCAGCAGAGGGAGGAGGGCCAUGGAGGAGGCACAGGGGUCCUACCAGCGAGGAGAAGCAGAGGCGGCAAGGCGACGCAAGGGGGCCAUGGAUCGGG